rnacentral:rRNA from 1 species
UACGUAGGGUGCUAGCGUUGUUCGGAAUCAUUGGGCGUAAAGCGCGUGUAGGCGGUCAAAUAAGUCUGGUGUGAAAGCCCUGGGCUCAACCGAGGAAGUGCAUCAGAAACUAUUUGACUAGAAGACGGUAGAGGAAGGUGGAAUUCCAAGUGUAGAGGCGAAAUUCGUAGAUAUUUGGAGGAAUACCGGUGGCGAAGGCGGCCUUCUGGGCCGAUCUUGACGCUGAGACGCGAAAGCGUGGGGAGCAAACAGG